AUUUUUGUGCAUGCUAGGCAGAGGGUCCCUAUGUGACCAGCUCCCGGUGAGAACCACGGAUGCUGAGUCUCUAACGAUCCUCUCUGCCUCCAGGGGGAUGAGACCCACAUGUGAAUAAGCCAGUUUUCCUCCAGUAGAAUGUUUCCUGGGAUACAGCAUGGGCAAGGAGUGCUCUUUGGAACAGAAGACAUUGAAGCUGUUUCGAAUGACGAUGAGGAAUUUGCAAGGUGCAAAAGUGAGGGAAGGCGUUCCAGGUGGAGGGAACAAAGUGAGAUGGCAUCAGCUGGAGGAGAGAAUUGUGAAGUGUCAGGCACAGCCCAGGAAGGAGCGGCCAUGCACACAGUACCUCGGACCAGAUUGUGCAUGUGCUUGGGUGACACCCUAAGAGAUUUUCAGGGUUUCUUAAUGUAGCUCUUGGCUUUAUUAAAAAUAUAUUCCUAUAUUAGUCA